CAAAUUAGAGCUUGUUAUUAAGUAUUUUAUUUACAUUAAAAUGAAGUUGUGAAAAUCAAUAUAAUUUGA
rnacentral:tRNA from 1 species